AUGGGAAGCUCCCGGCGGAGCGCUCAGAGGUGUUUUCUUGCGUCCUGGUCCGUAAGAGCGGUGAUGCUACCGGGAGUCUCCGCCCUGCCCGUACUUGCAGGAGGCAAUAUGCACUCGCUAGGGAGGGUGGGGACUUUCCUCGCUGCCGACUUGAAGGCAACUUCACAGGGGCAGCAUCUGUCUCUAAUCAGCGCACGACGAGAGCAGACGUUUGAUGGCCCCUCCGGCUGCGGGCCACUGGUAGCCAUGAGAACGGGGCUGGAGAUGUCAUUUCUUGCAGAGGCUCUGGGGGAUUUAUUUUCCCCUCUCUCUGUCUUCUUUCUUUCUUUCUUUCAUUCUUUCUUUCUUUCUUUCUUUUUCUUUCUUUCUUUCUUUCUUCUUUCCUUUCUUUCUUUCUUUGUUUCUCUCUCUUUCUUUCUCUCUUUCUUUCUCUUUUUCUUUCUUUUUCUCUUUCUUUCUUCUUUCUUUUUUCUUUUGUUCUUUCUCUUUCUUUCCUUUUUCUUUUUUCUUUUUUCUUUUUUCUUUUUCUUUUGUCCUAUUUCUUUCUUUCUUUCUUUCUUUCUUUCUUUCUUUCUUUCUUUCUCUCUUCUCUCUUUCUCUCUUUCUCUCUUUCUCUCUUUCUCUCUCUCUUUCUCUCUUUCUCUCUUUCUCUUUCUCUUUUUCUCUUUCUUUCUUUCUUUCUUUUUUUCUCUUUCUUUCUUUUUUCGUUUUUCUUUUUUUCUUUUGUUCUUUUUCUUUCUCUCUUUCUCUCUCUUUCUCUCUUUUUCUUUCUUUUUCUUUUUUCUUUUUUCUUUUUUCUUUUUUCUUUUUUNNNNNNNNUUUUUUCUUUUUUCUUUUUUCUUUUUUCUUUUUUUUUCUUUUUUCUUUUUUCUUUCGUUCAUUUUCUUUCAUUCUUUCUCUUUCUUUUUCUCUCUUUCUUUCUCUUUCUUUCUCUCUUUCUCUCUUUCUUUCUCUCUCUCUCUCUUUCUUUCUUUCUUUCUUUCUUUCUUUCUUUCUUUCUUUCUUUCUUUCUUUUUCUUUCUUUCAUCUUCCUUCCUUCCUUCCUUCCUUCCUUCCUUCCUGAAGGUUAGCAAUGCUGUGAUCUGCUCCCCAAAGGAAGGUUGCCAAAGCAGCGUUCCUGGUCCCAGAGCUGGCGUCCUCAGCUCCAGAAGCUGA
rnacentral:lncRNA from 1 species